CCGCGCGGGCUGGAGCACUGUGGGAAGUGUGGUCCGGUCCACGGCGUGCACCAUCUCGGUUGAGAGUGCUGACCUGGAAACCGACAGUUAAGGUUGCUGCAAGACGCGUAUGGUAAAGCCUCAGGUCCUCAGAGGUGAUGUGUUGAGCUGCCGCUUGGGCAAAGACCAAGUGUUCUGUAACAGGCUGCAGCUGAAAAAUCAGAUGAUCACAUGAACUGAUGAGGAAAAAAGCCCUCGCCAAAUCCAAUAUCGUUUCAUGAUAAAAACUCGC
rnacentral:lncRNA from 1 species